rnacentral:rRNA from 1 species
UGGGGAAUAUUGGACAAUGGGCGAAAGCCUGAUCCAGCAAUGCCGCGUGUGUGAAGAAGGCCUUCGGGUUGUAAAGCACUUUCAGUGGGGAAGAAAAGCUCAGGGUUAAUACCCCUGAGUAUUGACGGUACCUACAGAAGAAGCACCGGCUAACUCUGUGCCAGCAGCCGCGGUAAUACAGAGGGUGCAAGCGUUAAUCGGAAUUACUGGGCGUAAAGCGCGCGUAGGUGGGCGUUUAAGUCGGAUGUGAAAGCCCCGGGCUUAACCUGGGAAUUGCAUUCGAGACUGAAUGUCUUGAGUAUAGUAGAGGAAAGUGGAAUUUCCGGUGUAGCGGUGAAAUGCGUAGAUAUCGGAAGGAACACCAGUGGCGAAGGCGGCUUUCUGGACUAAUACUGACACUGAGGUGCGAAAGCGUGGGGAGCAAACAGGAUUAGAUACCCCCGUAGUCC